rnacentral:rRNA from 1 species
AUUGAACGCUGGCGGCAGGCUUAACACAUGCAAGUCGAGCGGAGAUGAGGUGCUUGCACCUUAUCUUAGCGGCGGACGGGUGAGUAAUGCUUAGGAAUCUGCCUAUUAGUGGGGGACAACAUUCCGAAAGGAAUGCUAAUACCGCAUACGUCCUACGGGAGAAAGCAGGGGAUCUUCGGACCUUGCGCUAAUAGAUGAGCCUAAGUCGGAUUAGCUAGUUGGUGGGGUAACGGCCUACCAAGGCGACGAUCUGUAGCGGGUCUGAGAGGAUGCUCCGCCACACUGGGACUGAGACACGGCCCAGACUCCUGCGGGAGGCAGCAGUGGGGAAUAUUGGACAAUGGGCGGAAGCCUGAUCCAGCCAUGCCGCGUGUGUGAAGAAGGCCUUUUGGUUGUAAAGCACUUUAAGCGAGGAGGAGGCUACCUAGAUUAAUACUCUGGGAUAGUGGACGUUACUCGCAGAAAAAACACCGGCUAACUCUGUGCCAGCAGCCGCGGUAAAAC